UGCUGCUAUGGGACAUUUUCACAAGGGGAGACCAUCAAAACACACGCACAAAGUGUGGCUAAGGAGGAGGAUUAAGCUGUGAACAAGGAUUGAAGGGGCUGAUGCUGGGGACUGGUGUUUUAGAAAGGUUGGUCACGGACAGCUGGUGACAGCUGGUGACAUUUAAGGAGAUAUCUGCUUCAAAUCAUAUUUGAAAAGGGUAAUGAAACGGGGGUGAAUUUUUUUUUGUUUGCAUUAUGGACUGAAUGCUUGUGUUCUCCCCAGAUCUGUGUGUUGAAGUCCCUCCCGCCCCCUGUGCCACCAGGUGAUGAUCUUUGGAAGUGGAGCCUUUGAGAGGUAACUAGGUUUAGACGAGGUUCAAGGUGGGGGCCCCCCAUGAUGGAAUAGGUGCUCUUAGAAGAAAAGAGACACCAGAGCUCUUUCUUGUUCAUUUUUGUGAGGACACAAGAAGGCAGCUGUCUACAGGCCAGGGUGAGGGCUCUCACGGGGGUCAAAUCUUCUGGCAUCUUGACCCGGGACUUCCCGGCCUUCAGGCUGUGACAUCUGUUCCUCAGCCACCUCGUCAGGGGUGCUUUGUUAUAACAGGCCACGCUCACUGAUAUAGUUUGAUUUUCGUCUUGCUGAGUUAAUGUCCACUCUUACUCAUUUCAGAACUUCUGGAGAUGAGCUUGAGAAGUCCCCCCUACAGGACUGGAAUGGCAGCUCUCUAACUUCGGGAAGGCACGCAGUAGCAGUAGCGUGAACCAGAGAGGCAGUCAUAGGAGGAAAGACCCUUCAGACCUGGGGCUGUGUGUCCCUGGAAGUCCCAGCGAGUGAUUACUGAUUCAAAGCAUCACCAAGAGCGGGCUGGCACUGGCCCCCUUUCCUUGACUUCUAUUAUAAAGGUUUGGCCUAGGGGCACCUGGGGGGCUCAGUUGGUUAAGCAUCUGCCUUUGGCUCAGGUCAUGAUUCCUGGGUCCUGGGAUCGAGUCCUGCACUGGGCUCCCUGCUCAGCAGGGAGUCUGCUUCUCUCUCUCUGUGUGUGUGCUCUUUCUCUCUGUCUCUCACUCUCAAGUAAAUCUUAAAGGUUUUUGUCUAAUUUGACCGCUUGGGGUAAAUCGGGCCUCACAGGGAUGUUUUAAUGAUAGAUGCAAGUAUGUAUAUAUGAUUAAUAUCUUCUGAGUCUUAUUUUGCAGGUAAACUACUGAUUGGGAAACGGGUGCUGUUCUACUCUAAGGCUUAGGAAGGCCUUGGAAUGAAUUCAUCGACAUGUGUCGAUGACUACUCAAGGCUAGCUUUGAACUUUGGAGCAUCAGAAAGAACUCCGAGAAAACUCAGAUCUCCUCAAAGAAUUCAGUCCCAUCUGGAGAUCAUGUGAACUGAUUAAGGGCUGAAUUGGGGGUAAAGAGAUAUAUCACGCGCACACAGUAGGUGAUCAAUAAAGCCUGGCUUGCUGAGACCUAUGUGAAAUGG
rnacentral:lncRNA from 12 species